GCCGACUUAGCUCAGUGGUAGAGCGCGGGACUUUUAAUCUCGUGGCCGGGGUUUCGAUGCCCACAGUCGGCU
rfam:Arabis alpina cultivar Pajares chromosome 7, whole genome shotgun sequence.